UUUGGUGUUCAUUUUUUUUUUUUUAUAUUUUUGGAAUCGUUGUUGCUUAACCUAGCUAAGUAGAGGAUUAAUUUGCAAAAUGGUUGAAAUUCUAGGGUUUUUCCAUGAGAGAAUUCUAGUUGUUUUUGAAGUUUAAUGGAAAAAUAUGAGUCUUUGUUGUUAAUUAAACAACUUUUGUUAAUGGAUUUUUAAUGAAAUUGCCAAUUAGGGGUUAAAUUGAGAAAGGUAAAAAUUGUUUUAAAUGUGUGAAAUUGUGAAAUG
rnacentral:lncRNA from 1 species